CGAGUGAGUCAAGAUAUCACCCUGUGAUGUCCUUGGUCCUCUUUGAAGACAAACAACACUCCUAGGGACAGGAAGAAGUAACUUAAAGCAUGGGCCCCCCUGGCAGUGCUUUGGGCCCUGGGGCAACCUUUGCUUGGAAGUAUCACUGAGGUUCAGCAUAUCCUGCUCAAGGUAAAGAAGCUAGCCUCCAAACUUGGACUACAAGCCAUUCACCUACAGUUGGAAGCAAACAGCGGGUACCAGCCAAUAUUCCCCGCAUCAUUUCCUGGAUGCAGCCUGUGUUCAGUUCCGGUCAACCUCCUCUUUGGGAUCCCCCUCGAGGCAGAGACAGCUCUACAC